AGCCACUGUGUACAAGUUCUGUUCCUGUUUUUCCCAUCUUAAGUCUCUACUUACAAGUUCUGUUCCUGUUUUCCCAUCUCAAGCCACUGCGUACAAGUUCUGUUCGUGUUUUCCAAUCUCAAGCCACUGUGUACAAGUUCUGUUCGUGUUUUCCCAUCUUAAGUCUCUAAGUCUCUAAGUUCUGUUUCUGUUUUCCCAGCUCAAGCCUCUGCUUACAAUUUCUGU